rnacentral:tRNA from 1 species
GUCUGUGUAGCUCAACUGGAUAGAGCAACGGACUUCUAAUCCGUAGGUCGUAGGUUCGAGUCCUACCACAGACA